rnacentral:lncRNA from 1 species
AGACUACGGGUUACACUGGCCGAGCCAGCACUCUGCUUUUCUUUCUACUCGGGUGGGGAUGGCAGUAGUCAGUCAUGGCAAACACACCCUCUAAACACCAUUACCCACACCAAGUGUCCCUGAAGUCUCAUCAAGGACUUAAGUUUCUGGCCUGACAUUUUUUUUUUUUUUUUUAAAGAAUCAGACCAGGAACUCAAACGUGGAUCUCUCCGAGCUGGUGCUGACUGGUUUAUACCAACUGCCAAGCCGCCCCCUUCCCUCACCGUCCGCCCUCCCGCGCGUGGGCAGAGGCGCUGCCGGCCCUCACUCCCGACCGCGCCAGGUCGCGAGGGCGAGCCCCGGAGCUCGCGGGGUGACAGGCCAGGGCAGCGAGGCCGCGGCUGUGCCCCGGGUCACUACUCUCCUCACCGAUGACGAUGCGCAGGUGCUUGAGGCGGGUCAGCGCGUCCUUCUUGGUGUCCAGCACCUUCUGGGUGGACUUCUUCACGUCCCCGUGCGGCUUCUUAGAGAACAUCCUGCGGCCGC